rnacentral:lncRNA from 1 species
GAAUGAUGGUAGAGAAGCUGCUGUCCUCUUAGUCCAUGUACACAAGUUCUGGAAGGGAUGCAAGCCAGUGAUGCCUAGCGACAAGAUCUGUCUCCUUGGGUCCUUCCCUCUGCCGUGACCCAUAUAUAACUGGGAGACCUGGAUUACUCUAACACCUUCACUAGACGCCUGAAAAUGAAGCCAACACAUGAAAGUGCCUUGCACCCUGAUCAAAC